AUCCAUUUGACGAGUCCCAAAUAGGACGAAACAUGAAUCCUGAAU
rfam:Schistosoma haematobium scaffold185_22, whole genome shotgun sequence.